AGUCGACGGAACCCAGGAAAGAGUUUUCGGACAUGGAAUUGGUUGUUUAGUGGCGGACGGGUGAGUAACGCGUGAGUAACCUGCCUUGGAGUGGGGAAUAACACAGUGAAAACUGUGCUAAUACCGCAUGAUAUAUUGGUGUCGCAUGGCACUGAUAUCAAAGAUUUAUCGCUCUGAGAUGGACUCGCGUCUGAUUAGAUAGUUGGCGGGGUAACGGCCCACCAAGUCGACGAUCAGUAGCCGGACUGAGAGGUUGGCCGGCCACAUUGGGACUGAGACACGGCCCAGACUCCUACGGGAGGCAGCAGUGGGGAAUAUUGGGCAAUGGGCGCAAGCCUGACCCAGCAACGCCGCGUGAAGGAAGAAGGCUUUCGGGUUGUAAACUUCUUUUAACAGGGACGAAGCAAGUGACGGUACCUGUUGAAUAAGCCACGGCUAACUACGUGCCAGCAGCCGCGGUAAUACGUAGGUGGCAAGCGUUAUCCGGAUUUACUGGGUGUAAAGGGCGUGUAGGCGGGACUGCAAGUCAGAUGUGAAAACUAUGGGCUCAACCCAUAGCCUGCAUUUGAAACUGUAGUUCUUGAGUGUCGGAGAGGCAAUCGGAAUUCCGUGUGUAGCGGU
rnacentral:rRNA from 1 species